rnacentral:rRNA from 1 species
CCUACGGGAGGCAGCAGUGGGGGAUAUUGGACAAUGGUGGGAACACUGAUCCAGCGAAGCCGCGUGAGUGAAGAAGUAUUUCGGUAUGUAAAGCUCUGUCAGCAGGGAAGCAAGAACUGACGGUACCUGACCAACAAGCCCCGGCUAACUACGUGCCAGCAGCCGCGGCAAUUCGUAGGGGGCAAGCGUUAUCCGGAUUUAAUGGGUGUAAAGGGAGCGUAGACGGUUAAGUAAAUCUGGAGGGAAAGGCCGGGGGCCAAACCCGGGACUGCUGUGGAAACUGGUGAACUUGAGUGCAGGAGAGGUAAGCGGAAUGCGUAGUGUAGCGGUGAAAUGCGUAGAUAUUAGGAAGAACACCGAUGGCGAAGGCAGCUUACUGGACUGUAACUGACGUUGAGGCACGAAAGCGUGGGUAGCGAACAGGAUUAGAUACCCUAGUAGUC